CAUCCAACAAUAUUCACAUUCACAUCCAACAAUAUUAACAUUUACAUUCAUCGAUUCACAUCCAACAAUAUUAACAUUUAACAAUUCACAUAUAUACAUAAUCAGGAGGUCAUAAUAUGUUCAACACAAUCCAAAAGUCCACAUAAUCAGGAGGUCAUAAUAUGUUCAACACAAUCCAAAAGUCCACA